rnacentral:rRNA from 1 species
AUACGGAGGAUCCGAGCGUUAUCCGGAUUUAUUGGGUUUAAAGGGAGCGUAGGCGGACGCUUAAGUCAGUUGUGAAAGUUUGCGGCUCAACCGUAAAAUUGCAGUUGAUACUGGGUGUCUUGAGUACAGUAGAGGCAGGCGGAAUUCGUGGUGGAGCGGUGAAAUACUUAGAGAUCACGAAGAACUCCGAUUGCGAAGGCAGCCGGCUGGACUGUAACUGACGCUGAUGCUCGAAAGUGUGGGUAUCAAACAGGAUUAGAUACCCUGGUAGUCCACACAGUAAACGAUGAAUACUCGCUGUUUGCGAUAUACAGUAAGCGGCCAAGCGAAAGCGUUAAGUAUUCCACCUGGGGAGUACGCCGGCAACGGUGAAACUCAAAUGAAUUGACGGGG